UACGGAGGAUGCAAGCGUUAUCCGGAAUGAUUGGGCGUAAAGGGUCCGCAGGUGGCAAUGUGUGUCUGCUGUCAAAGAAUGAGGCUUAACCUCAUCAAGGCAGUGGAAACUACAUAGCUAGAGUACGGUCGGGGUAGAAGGAAUUCCUGGUGUAGCGGUGAAGUGCGUAGAGAUCAGGAAGAACACCGGUGGCGAAAGCGUUCUGCUAGACCUGUACUGACACUGAGGGACGAAAGCCAGGGGAGCAAACGGG
rnacentral:rRNA from 1 species